GGGGAUGUGGCUCAGUGUAGAGCAUCUGUUUGGCAGGUAGAAGGUCCCAGGUUCAAUUCCUGACACUUCCA
rnacentral:tRNA from 1 species